AGGAGGUGACCAGAGGCGUCCAUGAUGACGAUGUGAGUGACCAUCAGACGAUCAGUCGACGUGACCCGACAAGGCGGUGUAUUCGCGUUCUCCGAGGCGGUUCCGCACGCGCUGCGUAGUAUUUUUGGAAAGUGUGACUUAUUCUAGCGUUUUAUCUCCGUGCAAAUAUUUGUUUAGCGGUUCGUCGCGUCUAAACGUUUGAGACUUCGAUGAUAAUAUAGCUAUGGCGGGAAAUGGGGCCGGCGUGCUGGCCUUAGUAGUAAGAGGCCUAACUUUCUCAUCCCUUUUACCGGUUUUCGAUUUCGUAGCGCCAAGAGGACAAGCCUACGAGGAUAAGCUUGAACGGGGUCGUCCUUCACGUCACAAAGUAUGAUUCAGAUUCAGAUUACGUAUAUACAGAGCCCACCUUCUGCUGAGGGGCAGUUACCCAGGCAUUAUCGCCUAUCACCACGACGGGAGCAGUGAGCCGUAGACCAUAAACACAGUCAUUGCUACAGGUGUAACAUCCUCACCUUUAAGAUCAGGCCCAAGGAAAACGAAGAAUUUUUAUCUGUAGCCCAUAUCGUUGACAACGCUAGCUGCCUAUGGGUUAAAGCUCACCAAUCAGAGGCCACAAAUACGAUUGCAUCAGCCAAUCAGAAACAAGAUGAGAGCCUUCAAUAUCGGCAGCGGAU